UUGAAACCCCUUUUCCCGUACGAUCACCGAAGAUAAGCAACGUUGAGCCUGGUCAAUACCUAGAUGGGUGACCGCUUGGCAAUACAAGA